rnacentral:misc_RNA from 1 species
GAUGAAGAACGCAGCGAAAUGCGAUAAGUAAUGUGAAUUGCAGAAUUCAGUGAAUCAUCGAAUCUUUGAACGCACAUUGCGCCCCUUGGUAUUCCGAGGGGCAUGCCUGUUCGAGCGUCAUUAUAACCCCUCAAGCUCAGCUUGGUGUUGGGGCCUGCUGCACUGGCAGCCCUUAAAAUCAUUGGCGGCGCCAUCUGGCUCUAAGCGUAGUAAUUCUUCUCGCUAUGGAGUCCUGGUGGAUGCUUGCCAUCAACCCCCAAUUUUUCUAUGGUUGACCUCGGAUCAGGUAGGGAUACCCGCUGAACUUAAGCAUAUCAAUAAGCGGAGGA